rnacentral:rRNA from 1 species
AUACGGAGGACGCGAGCGUUAUCCGGAUUCAUUGGGUUUAAAGGGUGCGCAGGCGGCCGUGCAAGUCAGCGGUGAAAGCCCGGGGCCCAACCCCGGAAGUGCCGUUGAUACUGCAUGGCUUGAAUGCGGUCGAGGCGGGCGGAACGGGGCGUGUAGCGGUGAAAAGCGGAGAUAUGGCACAGAACGCCGAUAGCGGAGGCAGCUCGCCAGGCCUGCAUUGACGCUCGGGCACGAAAGCGUGGGGAUCGAACAGGAUUAGAUACCCUGGUAGUCCACGCCGUAAACGAUGGGCGCUCGUCGUCGGCGGCAGACAGUCGGCGGCCAAGCGAAAGCGAUAAGCGCCCCACCUGGGGAGUACGGUCGCAAGGCUGAAACUCAAAUGAAUUGACGGGG